UGUGCUUGCAAAAGGAAUUGGACACCGUUAAAGCUGAGAUCCGGGAGUUGGAAGAACAGCAACUUCAGUCUGAGCGUUGUGUCCAUGACUUGGAGACUGUCUUGGAUAAUAAGGAAAGAGAAGUAGUAGCUUCUUCCCAGAAGCUGCAGGACUUCCUAUUGGCAUCUUCUGGGACUAACGCUACUAUCAAACAACUGGAAGAACACGUGCAACGCCUUGAAAUUGAAAACGCCAGACUGGAAGCCACGGUCCAGCAACAAAGCAGUAGGACUGAAGCCCUUCAGAGGGACCUGCAAGCCUCUGCCUCAGUAAGCUGGUGAUAAACUUCCCUUUUUGUGAGCUCC